rnacentral:rRNA from 1 species
GGGGAAUAUUGCGCAAUGGGCGAAAGCCUGACGCAGCGACGCCGCGUGAGGGAUGAAGGUUUUCGGAUCGUAAACCUCUGUCAGAAGGGAAGAAACCGCACCGUGCUAAUCAGCGGUGCCUUGACGGUACCUUCAAAGGAAGCACCGGCUAACUCCGUGCCAGCAGCCGCGGUAAUACGGAGGGUGCAAGCGUUAAUCGGAAUUACUGGGCGUAAAGCGCACGUAGGCUGCUUUGUAAGUCAGGGGUGAAAUCCCACGGCUCAACCGUGGAACUCCCUUGGAUACUGCUUGGCUGGAAUCCGGGGGAGGGUGGCGGAAUUCCAGGGUAAGAAGUGAAAUCCGUAGAUAUCUGGAGGAACAUAAGUGGCGAAGCCGCCCACCUGGACCGGUAUUGACGCUGAGGUGCGAAAGCGUGGGAGCAAACA